AGCAGGCACCGUCCAGCCGAACGUUCAAGGGCAGGAAGGAGACAGCACACUGACUGACCGGAUAGAAAUUCCGCGGCACGUAACACCAGAGAUUCCAAACUGAAUUUGCAGCUGCAAUUCCGGAGGAAGUUUCAAAGGAUUGCUGUUGCUAUUUUUGAUGGAAUAGGGAGAGAGCAGAUCUGAAGAAGUUUAGGGGUUGACGAGCUCGAAUGACUCAUCGUGCAGUUAUCCCAGCUGCGCGUCAUAUGGUAGUCCCGUUGGGUGUUACCAGUACUUGAAAAUAGCAUGGCUGGUCAAAAAAAAGAUCGAUUUAUUGAGAGAAAAUGGGAAGAAAUAAUGCUAUAUGUUCUGCAUUCUUUUUUUUCAAUGAAUUGCAUGUUACGUGACUCGUAAUUUUUAUCGAGCAUCUACAUAAAAAUGGCGGAUGCAAUUGUGAAGAAUAAUCUCUUAAACUGAUCGAAUUAUUGGUAAUAAAUAAAUCUCCUGUUAUCGAUCAUACUAGAUUUAAUUAGUUGUAGGGUGAGCCACUUCCACAGUGACUGUACAACGAUGUCCAAAUACAUGCUACAAAAUAAAUUGUGUUCUAACACGUUUAAAAGUUUA